rnacentral:rRNA from 1 species
UGGCCAUCCGAGUUGUAAUCUAGAGAAGUGUUACCCGCGUCGGACCGUGUACAAGUCUCCUGGAAUGGAGCGUCAUAGAGGGUGAGAAUCCCGUCUUUGACACGGACUACCGAGGCUUUGUGGUGCUCUCAAAGAGUCGAGUUGUUUGGGAAUGCAGCUCAAAAUGGGUGGUAAAUUCCAUCUAAAGCUAAAUAUUGGCGAGAGACCGAUAGCGAACAAGUACCGUGAGGGAAAGAUGAAAAGAACUUUGGAAAGAGAGUUAAACAGUACGUGAAAUUGCUGAAAGGGAAACGCUUGAAGUCAGUCGCGUUGGCCGGAAAUCAGCCUUCCUUUUGGUUGGUGUACUUUCUGGUUGACGGGCCAGCAUCAGUUUUGACCGGUGGAUAAAGUUGUAGGGAAUGUGGCAUCUUCGGGUGUGUUAUAGCCCUGCUUCGUAUACAUCGGUUGGGACUGAGGAACUCAGCACGCCGCAAGGCCGGGGUUCGCCCACGAUCGUGCUUAGGAUGCUGGCAUAAUGGCUUUAAUCGACCCGUCUUGAAACACGGACCAAGGAGUCUAACAUGCCUGCGAGUGUUUGGGUGGAAAACCCGAGCGCGUAAUGAAAGUGAAAGUCGAGAUCCUUGUCAUGGGGAGCAUCGACGCCCGGACCAGACGUUUUCUGACGGUUCUGCGGUAGAGCAUGUAUGUUGGGACCCGAAAGAUGGUGAACUAUGCCUGAAUAGGGUGAAGCCAGAGGAAACUCUGGUGGAGGCUCGUAGC